ensembl:snRNA LOC120093306 U6 spliceosomal RNA
AUGUUCCCUUUGGCAGCAGGCAUACUGAAACUGGAAUGAUACAGACAUUAGCAAGGCCUCUGCACAAGGGUGACAUGAACAUUUAUGAAACAUUACAUACUUUC